rnacentral:sRNA from 1 species
CACACACACACACACACAACCUUAGAAAACAUCUAAGAUUGUAAAGUAAAGAUGAGAUCAUAAAAUGGGAGAGCCAGAAACUGAAGUCAAGACCACUUAUUUUACUGAUUUUUAUUUUUUGAGAUAGGUUCUGCCUAUAAUAAAGAGGUUCGUUUUGAACUCCUAGGCUCAAGUGACCCUCUUCUCUCAGAUUCUCAAGUGUUGAGACUAUAGGUAUUAUGUAACUUUACUGGGCUUAGCUUAGUUAAAAAAAGAAUGUUAAAAAAAACUCUGUCCAAGCAAAAUAAAAUAUAUUUUCAGGUUAUACUGGUCCUGUGGUUCACCAGUUUUGACCUCUGUGCUAGUUGAGAGGAAGCAGCAUGUUAUAAUAACCUGAACAGAAGGUCCAUAAUUCCUGUGUUACCAUCUAAGUUUAACUAUUUACCAGCUCUAUAAUCUCAGAUAAACUAUGUAAUCAGUCCAUUUCUUUCAACUGGGCAUAAGAAAUCCAAAGUUUCCUAGCAGCUUUCAGCAUGGCAUGACUAAGAACCCAUGGAAAGCUAAUUAUGUGCAUGGUGAUUGAUUUUUUUCUGUAUGGGGUUUGGUGGGAUGUGAGACAAGGUUUUAUGUAGCCCAGCCUGGCUUCAAACGUUCUAUGUAGCUGAGACUGGCCUUGAACUCCUGAUCGUAUUGACUCUACUCCACAAGUACUCGGACAAAUGUGUAUCACCACACCUGAUACUUUGUCUUACCUCAGUUUGUUGACUCGGUUUACAUAUCUGGAUAGUGGGGAUAAUAAUGGUACCUACAUUAUAGAGCUCUGAGGAUUAAAUGAGGUGAUAUAUAGACUGUUAAUAUAACUGCAGUAGUGAGAACACUUUUUUUUGACACAACGUAAGCACUAUAUAAGAAUUACCUAUCAUCAUUACUGAUUUUUAACCUGACUUCUUGUUGAGCUCAUGUUUGACAGUCCUAAAUGACUUUGAAGGUAGCUUGCUAGUGUUUACAAUGUGGCACUGUUCCUGGGAGCAAUGUACACACCAUCACAAUGGAGCUGAACUUUUGAUCCCUUAGUUAAUCAUUUAAAAAAAGACAGAGUGGUAAGGUCUGAGAGCAGGAGAACUUCCCAGUCAAGGGAAUGCACCUUAAAAGCAGACACAGAUGAAGAAAAGAAAAACAGCCUAAAUGUCUAUCCAUGAAGGCAACAAACAAUGCUUAUUGCUAAAAGCCUUUUCUGUAUUUUCCAUAACAUACUUAAGAAGGCCAGAAAAAAAGGCCAAACUUUGAUCUAUAGAGUUGACUAGAAGGAAUUCUUAUAUUGGAAAAACACAGUUACUUUACUUGACCUAAAUUUGUGUAGGGGUAAAGUAUAGUUUUUUUUUCAAAAAUGUAAGAGAAAGGGUUUAUAAGUGUAGUUGGGUCCUGGGGCUGAAAAGUAGCACUCUAGCAGUAAUUUUGAAGUGAGACGUUGUGAUAUGAGGAAACAAAUGAAGCAUAGGAAGGCAGCUUUGAGGAGAUGUUUGAUGAAAUGGUAUGAACUCUAGUGGGGUAGCAAUGAAUACUCUGCAUUGAAUGGACAGGGGAGACUGCAGGUCACAAGUAUAAGGGUUACUGAUGGCACUUCAGCACUGAAGUGAUAAAGGCAUUCAUGGGAUCUCAUGUGAAAAGAUAUGGGGAUUCUUCAAUAGACCAUGAGAAAUUUCUGUUGAGAGGAGACAGCAUAUGUUAUGAAAACUAAUUUGAGUUUAUGAGAAUGGUAGAAGGUCAUAUGUAAUAGACAGGGGACUGGAAGUGUAUGAAAAUCUGUGUGUGGGGGUAAACAGAAGAAAAAGUUGGGCUUUGUGUUGUGAAAUACUGUAGAAUUCUGAGGUUGAAAGCACAGAGCAUAUGAUAGGAACCAGAUUAUAAAUAAGGAGAGAGUAAGUGAUCCCUGGUGUUAUAGGACAGGGCAUAAGGAAAGUUCAGCAUCAUUAAAGGGGUGAUCUAAGAAAAAACAACAAAAAAGUAUAUCUCCAUAGGAAAGGGCAAAAAACUACACACUUCAGCCAGAAAGAACUGGAUUUUCCAGGCUUAAGAAGGCAGGGGACAAGUGCAACCCUAAAGGAAACAAUGAGAAGCACCAGACUGAUAGUGACAGGAUGUGGUGUGGACAGUGGGAAACACUGGAGGGGGUGGAGACUGCUUCUCAGUAAAGAUAGGUAAAGAUUAGACAAGUAGUGGCUCUUCAGUGGAAUAUGGUAAGGAUUGCGGGGACUCUGAAGUGUAAAGAAAACAUUCUAGUAGGAGAUUAUAGUGGAUGGGACAUGAUCAUACUAUGACAAAGUGGGGUCACUAGUGAGAUGGGUAAGAAAAUAAUGUGGGCCUUCUAAUGAGAAGUUGAAUGCUUUACAAAAAGGAAAGGGAAGGGGCUGGACCCCAGUGUGGUACAAUUUGGAGCUCUAAUAUGAGAAGAAAGUGUUGUAUAGAACCCCCGCACCACAAAAAGAGCUCUGAAAAUGAGGAAAGACUACAGGUAAGGAAAGGGGAAAACUUAUUGUGUGAAAUGUGAGAUAGAACAGAACAGAGUGUGGAGUCAUAAGAAGACAAACAUGGAGCACUCUCUCUCUCUCUCUCUCUCUCACUGUGUGUGUGUGUGUGUGUGUGUGUGUGUGUGUGUGUGUACUGCAUGUCUGCAUGUGCGCACACACAUGCUAGCACUCUUGGAUCUCAGGGAAAGGGUGAAGGGCUUAGUUAGCCCUGUGUAAAAAGUGAGAACAGAAUGUUCUGAUGUGAGAGGCUCAUAAGUGGGUGGAGAUGUGAAACCUCUCAGCUUGUGUUUGAGGGUUGCAGAGACAAAGUAUGGAUCUCAAUGUGGAGAAGAGGUGAGAUAAUAGGAGAGUACAGGAAUUAUUUUUGGAUUCCUAUUAGGGAAUCCCUAGUAUGAAAGAAACCAGAGUAGGAGGGGAAAAUGGUGGGGCCCUUAGUUGGAUACUUUGGUGGAGCGGGCACUUUAAGGGUAUGGUGCUUCCUCAAUUGGUUGGGUGGGUUCAGAAGGUGGUUUUCCAGGCAGUACAGCUUAAGUGGUUAUCCUGUACGUGUGGGGGAGGGAGGUUCCUAGUAGGAAGAACCAAGGAAUUAUUGAGGGUAGGGCAAAGAAAUAGGAAAACCCAGAGGAGAGGAGAUGGCGACGUGGUGGGACCCUCGUGGGACGGCGCAUGAAAGAUAUUGUGAGAAGCCCAAGCCAUGAACUCAUGUUGUUCCAGCGGUGCUUCCUUUCAAGGUGCAAUGUGAACAGCCACCUCAAGCUCUGUCACCAUGUCUACCCCACCGUAAUGGACUGUACCCUUAAAUGUUGUGGGUUUCUGUAAUGGCCUCUGUCUGUGGUAAAAAGAAGCUUCUUUGAUGAGAGGUAAGCACUACAUUUAUCUGCAUGUAUAGGGAUAAUUUUUCAGGAUCCAGAUAGAAUUUGGCAAUUUUGUAGAGGCUGCAUUGAAUCUUCUGAGGCAAGAUAGCUGACUUAACAAUUUUAAUUUUCAUAAUUCUUAGACAUAGUAUAUGCAAUCAUUUAUUUGUUUAGUUUCUCAGAUUCUGCUUUAAGUGUUUACAUUUUCCCUUGGUUGUUCCUCUUAGGUAUUUUAUUUUCACAGUAUUAUAAAGGGGAUUAACUUCUGUGUUAUCUAGGUCAUUGCUAAUAUAUAAACAUACAUGUGAUUUUAUGUUGAUUUCACAUCCUGAAAUUUUACAGAAUUAGAUUUUUAUGACAUGUUUAUUUACAUUUUUUCACAUAUUUAUUUGUUCUUUAGCAGGUUCUUCUCCAGGCCUAGGUGACCUGGAACUUACAUAGCCCACAGUGGCCCUAAACUCAAGGCAGUCCUUCAACUUCCAAAGUCCUGGGAUUAUGGGCACCACAACUGACUUGAAUUCUUAGUUUCAACAAUUUUUAUAUAUUCUUUAGUGGUUUUUAACCUAUAAAAUUAUGGUACCUGAAAAUAGAAUUUUAUUGCCUUUUGAAUGCCUGUUGUUGCUAACUCUUGCCUACAUGAUUUGGCUAUAACUAUUAGUACUGUAUAGAACAGAAUUGAUGAGAAUAGGAAUUCUUGUUUUAUUUCUAGUCUCAGAGGAAAAGACUGUAGCUUUUAUACCUACCCUUAAGUAUGAUGCUAAUUACAGCUGGUCAAAUGGAGCCUUUCUUAUAUGGAGGCAUAUUUUCACUAUAGCUAAUUUGUUGAUUUUGUUAUAUUGUCCAUGAACAAAUACUCUCUCUAUAUAUAUGAGAAAGCAUUUUGUUCAUGUAUUGAGAUUAUUAUAUUGUUUUUACCCUCAUUGUUAAUGUAGUAUGUCACAUUUACUAACUAUAUAAAAAACAUACUUGGAUCCCAGGGUUAAAUCCUAGUUGUUUAUGUUGUGCUCAAGGUGGGAGUAAAUUCUCAUCCAGUGCACCUUAGAAUGCAGGAACUUGAGAACAAGAAGUGCCACAAAUGCAUGAAAAAAAUAAUGGAUAAGAAAGAGAAGGAGAGUUCCCUGCACCCAAAUC